rnacentral:rRNA from 1 species
AUUGAACGCUGGCGGCAGGCCUAACACAUGCAAGUCGAGCGGUAGCACAGGGAGCUUGCUCCUGGGUGACGAGCGGCGGACGGGUGAGUAAUGUCUGGGAAACUGCCUGAUGGAGGGGGAUAACUACUGGAAACGGUAGCUAAUACCGCAUAACGUCGCAAGACCAAAGAGGGGGACCUUCGGGCCUCUUGCCAUCAGAUGUGCCCAGAUGGGAUUAGCUAGUAGGUGGGGUAACGGCUCACCUAGGCGACGAUCCCUAGCUGGUCUGAGAGGACGACCAGCCACACUGGAACUGAGACACGGUCCAGACUCCUACGGGAGGCAGCAGUGGGGAAUAUUGCACAAUGGGCGCAAGCCUGAUGCAGCCAUGCCGCGUGUAUGAAGAAGGCCUUCGGGUUGUAAAGUACCUUCAGCGGGGAGGAAGGUGUUGAGGUUAAUAACCUCAGCAAUUGACGUUACCCGCAGAAGAAGCACCGGCUAACUCCGUGCCAGCAGCCGCGGUAA